rnacentral:rRNA from 1 species
GACGUAGGGCGCGAGCGUUGUCCGGAUUUAUUGGGCGUAAAGAGCUCGUAGGCGGUCUGUCGCGUCUGCUGUGAAAACUCAGGGCUUAACCCUGAGCUUGCAGUGGGUACGGGCAGACUAGAGUGCGGUAGGGGAGACUGGAAUUCCUGGUGUAGCGGUGAAAUGCGCAGAUAUCAGGAGGAACACCGGUGGCGAAGGCGGGUCUCUGGGCCGAUACUGACGC